CAUGUACUCCCUUUGUCCGAAAAUAAUUGUCGGGGAAUUGAAUGUAUCUAGAUGUAUUUUUGUUCUAUAUACAUUCAUUUCUAUUCAUUUUAGUGACAAAUAGUUCCGGACGGAAGAAGUAUGUG
rfam:Hordeum vulgare subsp. vulgare, WGS project CAJW01000000 data, contig: morex_contig_39732